GAUGAACGCUGGCGGCGCGCCUAAUACAUGCAAGUCGAGCGAAUGGAUUAAGAGCUUGCUCUUAUGAAGUUAGCGGCGGACGGGUGAGUAACACGUGGGUAACCUGCCCAUAAGACUGGGAUAACUCCGGGAAACCGGGGCUAAUACCGGAUAACAUUUUGAACCGCAUGGUUCGAAAUUGAAAGGCGGCUUCGGCUGUCACUUAUGGAUGGACCCGCGUCGCAUUAGCUAGUUGGUGAGGUAACGGCUCACCAAGGCAACGAUGCGUAGCCGCACUGAGAGGGUGAUCGGACACACUGGGACUGAGACACGGCCCAGACUCCUACGGGAGGCAGCAGUAGGGAAUCUUCCGCAAUGGACGAAAGUCUGACGGAGCAACGCCGCGUGAGUGAUGAAGGCUUUCGGGUCGUAAAACUCUGUUGUUAGGGAAGAACAAGUGCUAGUUGGAUAAGCUGGCACCUUGACGGUACCUAACCAGAAAGCCACGGCUAACUACGUGCCAGCCGCCGCAGUAA
rnacentral:rRNA from 1 species